rnacentral:lncRNA from 1 species
AGAAGAAGAAGAAGAAGAAGAAGAAGAAUGAACCAGGAGAGAAACUAACUAGGUUUCCCCUUUUUAUCUGUGGAUUAAUUGUCGGAGUAGAGAAACACACGAUUUGUACGUCUCAAAAUGAGUCAAAAUUCUACAAAGAUUCAGAAAAAAAGGAUCAUACGCAUUUCAGAGGUGGAAUAAAAGCCUGUGAGAAGUCCAGGUGUGGAGAGGUGUAUCUGUGGAUCAAAAUACUUUAAACGUCCUGUCUGCAAGAUUGAACACAGUUCUGCCCGCUCUGACUCUGGUCCCCGUCUCCAGUCCCACGUCUCGUCAUCCUGC